UUUUGGUUCCUCUCCUUCGUCUUCAUGGUGGUGCUCUUGCUUCCUCUUUCCCUUUCAAGGUACACUGCUCUGUUUAUUUUGGAUCUAUCUCUUCUUGUUCCUCUUAAACUUUGGAAUUAAUCUCUGUCUGCAUAUGGUCUUGUUGUGUCUUAGCGUGACUUGAACUUUUAUCCAAUUUUACAAGGUUUGUUAUAUGUGGCGGUGCUGAGGCUUGAGACCUUGUGGCGGUUAAGGCUUUUGGUUCCUCUCCUUCGUCCUCAUGGUGGUGCUGCUGCUGCUUCCUCUUUACCUUCCAAGGUACACUGCUCUGUUUAUUAAACUAAUCUCUCUCAGUUCUAACGCUUCUUCUUCGUUCUUCCUUGCUCGAGAGAAAUCAAAAUUCUCUAUUUCUCACCACUUCUUCAUCUUCUAAACCCUAAACCAAAACUAAAUCAAUCUCCUCUGUUCGUACUCUUUGGAUUCUCUGAUUCAUCUUUGCUGAAAAAGCUUGUACCUUUAGCUUUCUCUCGUUGAUUUGUUGUUGUGACUUUUGAGAUAUGGUUCGAUGAUCUAGGCUGAGAAAGAUAUAUGAAGCAGAGAGAUCAAAUGGUG
rnacentral:lncRNA from 1 species